UGAACGACUUUCGGCAACGGAUAUUUCGGCUCUCGCAUCGAUGAAGAACGUAGCGAAAUGCGAUACUUGGUGUGAAUUGCAGAAUCCCGUGAACCAUCGAGUCUUUGAACGCAAGUUGCGCCCGAAGCCGUCAGGCCGAGGGCACGCCUGCCUGGGCGUCACGC
rnacentral:rRNA from 1 species